rfam:Triticum aestivum genome assembly, contig: Triticum_aestivum_CS42_TGACv1_scaffold_434193_5DL
AAGGUACUCCCUCCAUUCGGAAUUACUCGUCCAAGAAAUGCAUGUAUCUAGAUGUAUUUUAAUUGUAGAUACAUCCAUGUUUGUGACAAGUAAUUCCGAACGGAGGGAGUAGCUA